UACGUAGGUGACAAGCGUUGUCCGGAUUUACUGGGCGUAAAGCGCGCGCAGGCGGUCGUGCAAGUCGCGUGUGAAAGCCCCCGGCUCAACUGGGGAGGGUCACGCGAUACUGCUCGACUUGAAGGCAGGAGAGGGAAGUGGAAUUCCCGGUGUAGUGGUGAAAUGCGUAGAUAUCGGGAGGAACACCAGUGGCGAAGGCGACUUCCUGGCCUGUUCUUGACGCUGAGGCGCGAAAGCUAGGGUAGCAAACGGG
rnacentral:rRNA from 1 species